UUUUUGCCCUCCCUCAACCAUUAUUUCUCCAUAUAUUUUAGUGCCAAGGGAUUUGUAGAUAUAUUGCUCAAAAGCAAAAUAGGUUAAGUCAAUUGGAAUUGACUUUUGUCUGUUGCAGCAAAGAUAUGAUUUAAAUGGAUAGAUUGAUCUGUCACCCUUCCAAAAGAACAUGAAAAUGCCUAAUUUUCACACACACAUAUACAUAUAUAUAACAUAGUUUGUAAAAUUGAUAGAGCUUGGGUCAAUCAUCUCCAGGUGACAAAACUUAACAAGGCAGAAACUUUGUUUUUGCAGCAGGACUCUCACCAUUCUGCCAUCCUUAUUAUAUUUGGAGAGGAUGGGGGAGAUAACAGAAGACCUAUUAUUACAUUUGGAGAAUAAAUCCUAAAUUGAUUGAUACUGAGUGGAGGAAGUACAUGAGGGGCAUCAAUACGUUUAAAGUGACCCAGAAACUUCAUAGUCUCAUACCUAUUCUUAGAAGGCUGAACAAGCAGAAAUAUGCAAAUAUUGUUAACAAACAAAGAAUUCUAGGAAUGAUCUGGCAACAAGUCAAGACACGCUCCAGAAAGAUCCUACGAAUGAGGUUGAAGGAAGAGGAAAGACGGGC
rnacentral:lncRNA from 1 species